UACGAAGGGUGCUAGCGUUGUUCGGAAUCACUGGGCGUAAAGCGCGCGUAGGCGGCUAUUCAAGUCAGAGGUGAAAGCCUGGAGCUCAACUCCAGAAUUGCCUUUGAAACUGUGUAGCUAGAGUGUCGGAGGGGAUAGCGGAAUUGCUAAUGUAGAGGUGAAAUUCGUAGAUAUUAGCAGGAACACCGGUGGCGAAGGCGGCUAUCUGGACGACAACUGACGCUGAGGCGCGAAAGCGUGGGGAUCAAACAGG
rnacentral:rRNA from 1 species